AUUGAACGCUGGCGGCAGGCCUAACACAUGCAAGUCGAACGAGUGGCGGACGGGUGAGUAAUGUCUGGGCAACUGCCUGCUGGCGGGGGAUAACUACUGGAAACGGUAGCUAAUACCGCAUACCAUCGGAUCUGCCCAGAUGGGAUUAGCUACUAGGUGGGGUAAAGGCUCACCUAGGCGACGAUCCCUAGCUGGUCUGAGAGGAUGACCGGCCACACUGGAACGGAGACACGGGCCAGACUCCUACGGGAGGAAGCAGUGGGGAAUAUUGCACAAUGGGCGCAAGCCUGAUGCAGCCAUGCGGGGGAGAGGAAGAAGGCCGUCGGGUGGGAAAGUACUUUCAGCGGGGAGGCGGUACCCGAAGAAGAAGCACCGGCUAACUCCGUGCCAGCCGCCGCGGUAAUAC
rnacentral:rRNA from 1 species